AGAUCAAAAUCCACCCCCUCUGGUUUAUCCUAAAUUCCACAACAUACAGUCAUUUCAAUCAUCUUAAGGACUUGUUUAAAUCAUCAAUUAGUUCAAUUAUAGAGUUAUCCUAAUUAAUCCUAAAAUCAUAAGUUGACAUGCAUCAUGAAUUUGGGGGAAAGCUAAUAAAUCUACUCUAUUAAGUGAGAGUUUACCUAAUGGAAUCUACACGAGUUUAUUGACAUUCAAAGAUCCAAUUUCAUGGAGGAUUUCAAACAUGCAAGAUCAAAAUUUGAGGAAUUGAAAUUUGGGGGUUAGGGUUGAUGAUUUUCGGCCUACCUGAGAGGAAGAAUAACGUGAUUUUGAUGACGGCGGCAUCACCGGAAGCGGAUAGGACGUUCUGAUUCGGAGAUUGAUUUGUAGGUGGUGGUGGAGGUUGUGGUGGAUGCGGUGAUGAAGGAAGAGAAGGUGAGAGCAGAGAGAUAUUAAGAACUGUUGAGGAAAAAAAAUGGAAGUGAUUGGACUUUCCGGCGACGGUGGUUACUCGCCGGAAUCUGGGAUGGGGAUGAACAUGCAUGGUGUUCUUGUUGUUCAUCAUGAACAACAUUAGAUGGUGAGAAAGGAGAGAGAGAGCGCGUAUGAGAAAGAGAGAAGAGAGAGAAAGAAACUUCUCAAAUGAAUAUGCUUCUCUAAUUGUUUGCCUAAACCAGC
rnacentral:lncRNA from 1 species